UAUAUGUGUCUAAUUAAACUAGUUUUACUUGUUAGAGUUUGAUACUUAAUUUUCCCAUUUGAGUUUUGAUCCAAUAUUUUGUAAACUUGUAGACAUUUAUGUUUAGGUCAUUUGGGUUUCAUUUGAUGCUUGGAUAAUUAAUUUUGGAUUGUUUUUUAACCUAUUCUUGAAAGUUGUUUAGUGUGAUCAAUUAGUGGUGCAUUGUUUGAAUGAUGGAUUUGUUUGGGCAUCUUUUACACAUUAUUGUGAGUAUAUCUUUGGGAGACUUUGAGCUUGUGAUUUCAUCUUUCUAUGCCUAAUUUUUCAUAAUUUUCUUAUGCUCCUAACUAUUUUUCUUGAGUUAUUCAAGGCAUACUUGUUUCUUUGAGAUGCCUUUUACAUUUAAUAGAUUAUUUUGAAUGCACUUGUGCAACCAUUAGGGUUCUCUUUCCAAUUCUCUCUUGACCUCAUCAUCAUCAUUUAGGAGUCCUAUAUUCACCCAUGAGAACCAUUUUGGGCAUCUCCAUUUGAUGUUUCUUUGCUUGCUUGUCUUGAGUACUUCUUGCUUGCUUUUGAGACCAUAGUUGGAUUUUGUCUUGUGCAUUCCAAUUUGAAUACUAUGAGUCCAAUGGAUUUUAUUUCCUCUUGCCUGCACUUAUGAUUUCCUUGGUCUUGGUAACCUUAUACCUUACUCUUAUGAUUCUUUGAAUGGUAUUUCAUUGCCAUUCAUCAUGAUGACACAUUAAGAGCUAUAUUUUUCUUUUCUUAACCUAGUUUUGAGUUUUAGUAGAUGGUGAAGAUCUUAG
rnacentral:lncRNA from 1 species